AAUAAAUGGGGGCAAAUAAAUUUCCAUCCGAUGAGAAAACGCCUAGUGUGACAAUAAACAAAUCACCUUCCUGAAAUGUACCCUUAUCCUACCCUUAUGUCUCAUGGAUGGCUAUGAUCAAAAUAACACCUAUAAAAUAAUAAGAGCAGACUUGAGCUGUUUCUUCCUUUAAUAAAGGAAAGAGAGAAAUGACAAGCCAGCUCGAACACUUCUACACUUUGACUCCAUUUCGUUCC